UCUGCAGCAUUGAAGGUCCCCAAGAACACAGUGGCCUCCAUCAUUCUGCAGCAUUAAAGGUCCCCAAGAACACAGUGGCCUCCAUCAUUCUGCAGCAUUAAAGGUCCCCAAGAACACAGUGGCCUACAUCAUUCUGUAGCAUUGAAGGUCCCCAAGAACACAGUGGCCUCCAUCAUUCUGCAGCAUUAAAGGUCCCCAAUAACACAGUGGCCUCCAUCAUUCUGCAGCAUUAAAGGUCCCCAAGAACACAGUGGCCUCCAUCAUUCUGCAGCAUUAAAGGUCCCCAAGAACACAGUGGCCUCCAUCAUUCUGCAGCAUUGAAGGUCCCCAAGAACACAGUGGCCUCCAUCAUUCUGCAGCAUUGAAGGUCCCCAAGAACACAGUGGCCUCCAUCAUUCUGCAGCAUUGAAGGUCCCCAAGAACACAGUGGCCUCCAUCAUUCUGCAGCAUUGAAGGUCCCCAAUAACACAGUGGCCUCCAUCAUUCUGCAGCAUUAAAGGUCCCCAAGAACACAGUGGCCUACAUCAUUCUGCAGCAUUAAAGGUCCCCAAGAACACAGUGGCCUCCAUCAUUCUGCAGCAUUAAAGGUCCCCAAGAACACAGUGGCCUCCAUCAUUCUGCAGCAUUGAAGGUCCCCAAGAACACAGUGGCCUCCAUCAUUCUGCAGCAUUGAAGGUCCCCAAGAACACAGUGGCCUCCAUCAUUCUGCAGCAUUGAAGGUCCCCAAUAACACAGUGGCCUCCAUCAUUCUGCAGCAUUAAAGGUCCCCAAGAACACAGUGGCCUCCAUCAUUCUGCAGCAUUAAAGGUCCCCAAGAACACAGUGGCCUCCAUCAUUCUGCAGCAUUGAAGGUCCCCAAGAACACAGUGGCCUCCAUCAUUCUGCAGCAUUGAAGGUCCCCAAGAACACAGUGGCCUCCAUCAUUCUGCAGCAUUGAAGGUCCCCAAGAACACAGUGGCCUCCAUCAUUCUGCAGCAUUAAAGGUCCCCAAGAACACAGUGGCCUCCAUCAUUCUGCAGCAUUAAAGGUCCCCAAGAACACAGUGGCCUCCAUCAUUCUGCAGCAUUGAAGGUCCCCAAGAACACAGUGGCCUCCAUCAUUCUGCAGCAUUGAAGGUCCCCAAGAACACAGUGGCCUCCAUCAUUCUGCAGCAUUGAAGGUCCCCAAGAACACAGUGGCCUCCAUCAUUCUGCAGCAUUGAAGGUCCCCAAGAACACAGUGGCCUACAUCAUUCUGCAGCAUUGAAGGUCCCCAAGAACACA